UGCGUAGGCGGACUAAUAAGUCAGUGGUGAAAUCUUUCGGCUCAACCGAGAAACUGCCAUUGAUACUGUUAGUCUUGGGCUCGGUUGAGGUAGGCAGAAUGUGUAAUGUAGCGGUGAAAUGCUUAGAUAUUACACAGAACACCAAUUGCGUAGGCAGCUUACUAGACCGACACUGACGCUGAGGCACGAAAGCGUGGGGAGCGAACAGGAUUAGAUACCCUGGUAGUCC
rnacentral:rRNA from 1 species